UCCCUAGCGGUCCAGUGGUUAAGACUCUGCAUUUCCACUGCAGGAGGUAUAGGUUCAAUCCCUGAUUGGGGAA
rnacentral:tRNA from 1 species